rnacentral:tRNA from 1 species
GGGCCCGUAGCUCAGCUUGGUAGAGCACCGGACUUUUAAUCCGAUGGUCGAGGGUUCAAAUCCCUCCGGGCUCG